UAGGGAAUAUUAGUAAUGGGCGAAAGCCUGAACUAGCAACACCGCGUUUGCGAAGAAGGCUUUUGGGUUGUAAAGCACUUUUUGAGAGGAUGAGGAAGGACGGUACUCUCAGAAUAAGUCUCGGCUAACUACGUGCCAGCAGCCGGGGUAACACGUAGGAGGCAAACGUUAUCCGGAUUUACUGGGCGUAAAGCGCGUGUAGGUGGUUUUGUAAGUAGAGCGUGAAAGCUCAUGGCUCAACUGUGAGAGUUCGUUCUAAACUGCCGGACUAGAGGGUGGUAGAGGGAGGUGGAAUUCCGGGUGUAGCGGUGGAAUGCGCAGAUAUCCGGAGGAACACCAGUGGCGAAAGCGGCCUCCUGGACCACUCCUGACACUCAGACGCGAAAGCUAGGGUAGCAAACG
rnacentral:rRNA from 1 species